CAAAAUAUUAUUUUAAUUAAAAGUUUAAUCGAUAAAAAAAUUUCACCCCAAAAAUUUCUCAACCCAUCGCCAUUCCCCACCUCCAUCGCCGUUCCUCCGUAUACCGCUCCUCGCCGACCGCCGCCGUCAACAACCUCCACUCCGCUCGCCGCCGUCAACGACCUGCACUCCGCUCACCGCCGUGAACAGCCUCCACUCCGCUCGCCGCCGUCAACAGCCUCCUCUCCGCUCGCCGCCGCCGCACGCCGCUCGCCGCCAAGACCUUCGCCGUCGCCUUCCCGCCGGAAAAUAAGGCCUUCCGGUGGUUUGAGGCCGCGGAGACCGUCGGAAAAUGUUAAGGAACUGAGGAGAAGCAAGUCGGAGCCAACUCCGGGGAAUCAUUCCGAGGUAAUUUUUUAUUUUAUAUUUGUUUAGCAAUUAUUAUUUUUUUCUACUAUUUAUUUAUUAAUUUAUUUAUUUUAUUAGAACUAUUAUGCUGCAGAUCAUAUAUUUCCAACUCAAGUGCUAUUAUUAAUUCUGAUGAAAAAUUAGGGCUGUUAAAUUAAUGAUCUUAUUUUAAUAUUUUUUUGUUCAAAUAUCUUAUUUUUAGGUGUCAAGAUCAUUCCAGGUGAUUCUUGGUUUGGAGUUUAUUGUAAAGUUAUGGUCUUUAGUCUUUACACACUUUGAUAUAGAUUGAAACAGUGUGUCUGUGUGUGUGGAAAUUGUGUGUGCAUGUGAUUAUGUG
rnacentral:lncRNA from 1 species